rnacentral:rRNA from 1 species
UACAGAGGGGGCAAGCGUUGUUCGGAAUUACUGGGCGUAAAGGGCUCGUAGGCGGCCUUCUAAGUCGAACGUGAAAUCCCCGGGCUCAACCCGGGAACUGCGUCCGAUACUGGAAGGCUUGAAUCCGGGAGAGGGAUGCGGAAUUCCAGGUGUAGCGGUGAAAUGCGUAGAUAUCUGGAGGAACACCGGUGGCGAAGGCGGCAUCCUGGACCGGCAUUGACGCUGAGGCGCGAAAGCGAGGGGAGCAAACGGG